rnacentral:misc_RNA from 1 species
AACGCACCUUGCACCCUUUGGUAUUCCUAAGGGUACACCCAUUUGAGUGUCAUUGUAAUUUCACCUCUUCAACUUUAAUGUUGAUCUGUGUGGAUUUGGAUGUUGCUGUGGGACAAGCAGCUCAUCUGAAAUGCCUGAGUGUAUCCUGUUUCUGUGGUGUAUUCAGUGUAAUAAGUUUUCACUGAAGAAUGGUCUUUGUGACCACAUCACUUUGACUGGCUGUAUGCUUCCAACUGUCUUGAGAAGACAAUGUUCUGACAAUUUGACCUCAAAUUGGGUGGGACUACCCGCUGAACUUAA